rnacentral:rRNA from 1 species
CAGUCGCCGCGGUAAUACGUAGGUGGCAAGCGUUGUCCGGAAUUAUUGGGCGUAAAGGGCUCGCAGGCGGUUUCUUAAGUCUGAUGUGAAAGCCCCCGGCUCAACCGGGGAGGGUCAUUGGAAACUGGGAAACUUGAGUGCAGAAGAGGAGAGUGGAAUUCCACGUGUAGCGGUGAAAUGCGUAGAGAUGUGGAGGAACACCAGUGGCGAAGGCGGCUCUCUGGACUGUAACUGACGCUGAGGCGCGAAAGCGUGGGGAGCAAACAGGAUUAGAUACCCCCGUAGUCCCUGUCUCUUAUAC